rnacentral:rRNA from 1 species
GACAGAGGGUGCAAACGUUGUUCGGAUUUACUGGGCGUAAAGCGCGUGUAGGCGGCUUUGCAAGUCGGAUGUGAAAUCCCACGGCUCAACCGUGGAAGUGCAUCCGAAACUGCAUGGCUGGAGUCCCGGAGAGGAAGGUGGAAUGCUUGGUGUAGAGGUGAAAUUCGUAGAUAUCAAGCAGAACACCUGCGGCGAAGGCGGCCUUCUGGACGGUGACUGACGCUGAGACGCGAAAGCGUGGGGAGCAAACAGG